UGUGGCUGUCCCUGCUAGCCCCUGGGAGAGCCCAGCUGGACCAGAGCUGACACCUGAAUGAGAUGAGUACAAUUAAUCAAGGCAGAUUGGAAUUGACACCUAUUAAUUAUUUAUUGAACAGCAAGAAGGCAAUCACAUGGACGCAUCAACUAGUGACCUCGUAAUGAACAUCGAGAGCCUUCGGGAGCUGGGGGAGUGAUGUUCCCGGGGGAGCAGUGCUGUGGGGCACUCGGGGCAGCAUGCUCAGGGUCAGCACCCAUCAGCAGCCCAGCAGUGGGAGCUCACUGCUCCAGGGACACGGCACAGGCACCUCCAGGCACAGAGCAUGCUGUAAGUACAUGGUGUUAUAUUGAAUUGACACACAUUAUAUUAAAAUGCCUGUGCAAGCAAUCUAUUAAACGGCCGGUGCCUGGUCACGUCAGACAGAGCUGAGCCUGCCCAGGCAGCUCCCAGGAGCUGGAGAUGCAGGGGAAGCUCAGAGCCAGGUGCCACCACCUGGGCUUGCUGGAAUCGCUGUGUGUCAUUGUGUUUAACAGCCAGCUGAAAAACCCAGAUGCUUUUACAAGGCCAAAUGAGUUUUAAAAGUUUAAAGGUAAGCUUUGACCCUGCCACUUGUCAAUGUGAUGCUUUGCAGCUCUAAAAAUAGAACAUCUCUGCCAGAGGAAAGAUAUUUUUGGAAAAGCUAGUUACUGCAGCCAAUCUUGCAUCGUUACUGGAGCCGUGCUCAGAGCCUUCUUUUAAUUUCCUUCUGCACAUAAGUUUUAUGAAGUGCGAAAAAAUAACCGGUGCGUGCCCUUGAGGAGCAGCAGUGCCCACCGGCACCCAGGCAGGCAGCCCCACGUGUCUGUCUGUCUGUCCGUCCGUGGAGGGCUCUGCUCCACUUGGACAAAGGCGGAGCUGGGUGAUGGUGUCCAGCCUGACACAAAAUAUUGUCUGUGUGAAAGUGCUAACCAGGAAGGCCGUCACACCAAACCAUAAAGUACAGCUGAGGAUACUGAGCCUGGCAAACGGUGUAUCUGAACAUCUGUGCUCACAAGGAGAGAAGGGCACGCAGCGUGGGAAGUUCAGCAGAUUUGCACAAAGGUGGCAGCACAGGCAGACGCAGAAUGCUACAGCUAGCUCAGCUCUGCCAUGGCUCCCUAAAAAUAAUGGAAACUGCCUCAGAUGUCUCUUGCAAGAACUGAAAUUAAUACCAUUCUUCAUCAGAACUGACAUGUCCAAGUACUCCCCAAAUGGUGAGUGUUAAUAUUCUGAUUUCCAGUUAUGAGAUGCGUGCUUUGGCCUUCAUGUCAUGGAGAGGUGGGAAUGAUGGAGGUGGCGCACCUGUGGCUUCUGCAGCGGCAUCAGGAGGGGAAAAAGAUCCCAUGAGGUUUGAGCCCGGAGCUGGAGGAGGAGGUCUGCCACGGGCAGCAAGGCUCCUGCUGCUGCAGGGAAGCCUGCCCUCGGAACCACGGGGAAAUGCCAGCCAAGCAGCCGCUGAUGGCUGAAACGCGUUGCUGGCGGCUCUCUGACAAUUUUUAAUUAUUAUUUAUGUCACUAAGCACUCUGCAUCUGAGGACAUCAAGCAACUGCAACAGGCUAUAGAUAGGACUGUCUCCUCCUUCGCAUCCUUUCCCAAAAAAGCUUGGGGAAUGUGGGCAGAGCACACGACAGCACCCCAGCUUCCCUGCCUCCCUGCUGGCAGGUGAAGGCUCCCCCGUGCCGGAGGCUCCACGAGGCGCCUGCAAAUUCCGAGCCCUCAGCAUUCAGCUGGCGUCUCCAGCCAGGGCUUUUUCCAGGUUGGAAAGGUUGUGCCACGACAGCUCCCACAUCAAAAGUGUUUUCAGUGAAAGAAAUGAGAAAUAAAUCUCCAAAGAUGCGGCCUCAUUAUCUAUGUGGCAUUUAAGCGUAAUUUAUGCCCAGUAUCUUGCCACUUCCCUCGGUAGGAAAUUGCAUUGUUGGUUCCCCAACACUCAGCUUCUACGGCAGCCGUGUCAAAAAUAUUGAAACAAAUUGAUCCAACUGGAGUUCUCUCUGCAUUUUUAUUGCCAAUUUAUCAAUGUGGGCGAGGCACGGUGCGCACUAAGUGAGUUGUGAUCCCUGAAGGAGACGGGUGAGACCAGGGACACUGACCGGGCUGGGGGCAUCUCAGCGGGCAGCGCGCCGAAGUCAUUCCACACGUAGCCAUGGCCCACUCCAGGGAUCUGGCUGAAUUCUCCUUACCUCAAGUUUUCUUUAUUUUCUUUUUUAAUCACAUCGUAAUUGGGGGAACCAGCAAAAGCAUAAAAAAAAAAAAAAGAAAACAAACAAACAAGAUUAAUGAGCAGCAUCAGGGGAGAAAAAGCGUUUUCUGGCCAGAGUCCUUGGCAGCGGUAGGAAAUAGAUGCUUCUCUUGGAGAGUUUUUAGCUGGCGCUGAGUUGCCAGCUGAGGAAGUCAAGUGAAAAGCAAGUGCCUGGAACCCGAGUUCACCGCAGCCUCCCUCUGCUUAGCUCAUUUAGUGCCUCAGCCUGAGCAGUGGGUAUUUGGAUGUUUAUUCCCAGACUAAAUUGCUUUUGGAGCUCCGGCUCGUUUGUCAGUGAAAGAGAAAACAAGCUGUCGUUUGGACUCACGGCCCUCGUGGCUCCUUCCCCUGUUUGCUGGUGCCGCGGAAGCAGGCAGCGAGCGUCCUCAGCCGCAGGCCAGCAUCCUCUGGCUGCUCUCGCCUGUGCUGGACGUGGCUGUGCAUCUCCCCGGGGGGUUUUGGCAUCCAGACGCUUUCCCUGAAGGCCCAGGCUGGCAGCCAGCCCCACCACGGUGCCAGAGCUCACUCCUUGGUUGCCCACGAGCGCCAGCAGCGCCGAGAGCAGCAGCUCCGGGGAGCUCCGCAGCAUCCCGGUGGCCUUGCCUCUCGGCAGCCCGCGGCUCCGAGGUGCCAAUGUUUGUGACUGUGGAAAGCACGGCUCCCAGCGCUGGCACGCAGCGAGAGUCUCACACAUGCAGAACGGCGCUUUGAAGCUGCAAAUUUUGGGGGGAAAAGUUUCACACGUUCAUGAAUAAUCAGAGUUUGUACCAAACUGCGGAGCUUCCCGGAUCCUUUGAGCUUCAUACUUCGCUCAAAAUAAACAUAGCCAGGUGUUCGCACAAAUUAGGAGGUUGUCUGAUAUAGAUUACGAUCUAAGUAAGAGUUGGUAAGUCUCUAGCAGUUGCUUAUAUGUGGCAUUCAGUAGCAGCUUGUGGUGUAAAAUUCCCUCUUCGCUUGCAUAAACACCAGUAAAAUCUGGGGGCUCAGCUUUCUCACCCUUGUAUUUGAUGCUUUGUUGUCAGUGUAUGUUUGGGGAUUUAAAUUUCAUGCUUGUUUUUGCUUCAGGGGUUUCCAUCUCCUUCCACCCUGCCUGCGGGGACGGGAGCAGGGGAGGCUUCGCCCGGCUCCUGGGCGCCGCUUGCUGCUGCAGGCAGCCACGCUGCUCGGCCCAGGAGCAUCUGUGUGACCGAACUUGGGAGGCAUCUCAACUUGAUGAAGACAUUUUCCCGCUAUCUGCUGUUAUCUGGGUGCCUGGAAGAAUUCCGGAGGAGCUCUCAUCCUGCCUCCAGGCAGGGCUUAUGGGGUUUGAACCAGUCCCAGUUGCCAUGGAGAAAGUGUUAGAUAGCUUUAAUACAUCUGUGCGAAUUUCUCCCUGGAGUUUUCCCAUGACAAGCUGGACUGGAGAUCCAUUAGUUUGCCCUGCCUUUAACCAGAAGAUAGUUGAAGGAACGUGGUGGAAUCAAGUAAAUCCAAGCUGGAAAUCUCCAAUGAGAGGAGACAGUAGGAAAACUAAGAGGAACAGAGAAAGAAGUGCUGACUGUCAAACCCUUCGGUGGGUUUCUGUUCUUUGUGUUCAGAAAUCUGGAAGCCAGGGGAAGCAGAGCCGGUACGCUGCGCUCAGAGCGAGCCUCCUCGUGAGCAAUCCUUCUGUCAGUGCCUUCACUUUCCUCUUCCUUUCUGCUUUUCUUCUAACCCCCCAGUGGUACUUCUAGCUGCUUUGGUUUCUCUAAACAUUAUCUUUUCCGCAGUUGAUGGGCUGUUGAAAUAUGAAGUCCAUAAAUCACUGGAUAAUGUCACAUCCACUGCAGUGUCUGUCCUGUUCAGCCUCAGCAAUCGCCCUGCCCGGCAAGGAGGGAGCGCAGGGCCCGGUGAGCAGUAGCCCCGUACCACGAAGUCUGGUUACCUUCUGCAUGGGACAUUGCCGUUAUCCCGAGAGGAACACCCGGGGUGGGUGUGCUGGAAAACCAGCGCUGAGCUCAGCUGUCUCCACGCGGGUCCCCAGGGGUUGCUGAGACUUGCUGGAAAGCUGAGUUGUUGAGGUUGCUGGAAAAUUGCUGCCCAGCAUUAAGAAGUUAAGAGACAGACACGGGGCUGGCGGUGCGGCGAUGCCCAGGCUGGCACCGGGACCCCCGGCUGCCCCACGUGGGAAAGCCUGGUGAGAGCAGCAGUGCCGAGAGCAGCAUGAAAGAGAAAGGCAAAGCCUGCUGCUUCCUGACUUCCAAUUCUCUUCUCUCCCAGGGAACGUGGUGAGGCCAAGCCCUGCUCCUUGCUUUUCCCUUCCCUUGUUCUCCCCUGGUUUCUCUGCAGUCCCCUGCAAAUUCCCCCGCUCUGCGCUGGGAUGUGCGGGUGCUCGGCUGGAGGAUUGCUUGCGGUGGAGAGGAGAGGUGGCAUGGCAAAGCAUGUGCUUCUGCUGAUAUGCUGGGGUUAAAAAGUAAUUAAUUAGCUAGUUUAUGGUGUUUUCCCAUCUGAAAUUAAAAACAAAAAUUAUGCAGAACAUACAAGGUAAUUAGGAAGCAGCAAGCUACAACACACCUUUAAAUGAGAGCUCUAAAAAGCAUGAUGUUCGGCAGCAGAUUUUUAAUGUAACAGCUAUUAAAAGCUUACACCCUCGAUCGCGUUCCUGGGAACAUUCAUCACGCUUCGACCUUCCCUUACGGAUCCAGGUAGAGCCCUAGCAAAACCUGAAUUUUUAAUAUUCCUGGUGCUUAUCCAUGAUCAGAUUUCCCAUUUAAAAUCUAUUAGCCAAGAUGAGAAAAUUGGUUCAUAUUUUAUGUGCCUAGUUUAAUUUUUUUUUCUUUGCAUUUACAACUGGCCCCUAGUGUUUCAUCCACCCCCUAAUGAUUUAGCUGUGCAAGAUGUUCCACCACUUUAUUAGAGUGGAGUGUAUGGAGCAGGUCAUGCAUAUUAAACAUGAAGUUUUUACUACAGUUGGUUCAAUAAUCCGAAAGAAAAACAUUAUUAUAUUUUUUAAAUUUUUUACUGUGUUACCAGCUGCCACUUCUGGAAGGUCAGCCCCUCAGCCUGGCACCCGGCACUGCUGCAGCAUGUGGGGCACGACGGGCAAGCAGCAGCCCAGCCCCACGUCUGUGCGCCUCAGGACGGGGCCUGGUGCUGCGCUGUGCUUGCCGUGGUGACACACGUAUGGGCUUCACAGCCUCCUCUCGGGAGAGGAGGCGACUAUUGAUCCGUGUGUCUCUCUUUUGUCAUUAAAUCAAAGUUGGAAAUCAAAGCUUUAUGCUGUUAUUCGUUUCAGCAAGGUCUGAAACAGCAGCGGAAGAGGUCUGUGCGGUGCUUCGCUCCCCUCGGG